AGCCAUGCAGUGAUCACAAAGUGAACUAUUCUUUCGCCUUUUACUAAAGAAUACCGUGUGCUUGCUGCUCAGAGUGGCAUACGCCAAUUUUUGGAGGGUUAUUUCUUUGGAAUAA